UGUCCCCUGCCAUUUAGCAGUCGCUGGAGCUGGGACCAAAAUGGCACAUGGCUGAGCUGCAUACAAACCGGGGUGAAAGCCGCAAGCAUUGAGCAGCUGAGCCCUGGUUUCCCUGCUCACCUGCAGCAGUGAGAUGUCAGCCAGCAGACCUUGAGGAACACACCACGCACCCCCGCCGACCGGCAUCAGCAGAUAAGGAGGAACCCAGGUGCAGCAAAGAAGACAUGUUCCAGGAGGAGCUGCAGCGCGAUGACAGACCAGGGAACGCAAAGAGUGCUGGGGAGCCUGAAGUCAGGACAGAAAAGAGAAUGCUGCAUUUGCUAGGCAAGUGCCAGAGCAGAUGAUAAAAGUUAUGGAGGGUCA